rnacentral:rRNA from 1 species
UACAGAGGUGGCAAGCGUUGUUCGGAAUUACUGGGCGUAAAGGGCGCGUAGGCGGCCAUCUAAGUCAGACGUGAAAUCCCCCGGCUUAACCUGGGAACUGCGUCUGAUACUGGAAGGCUUGAGUAUGGGAGAGGGAUGUAGAAUUCCAGGUGUAGCGGUGAAAUGCGUAGAUAUCAGGAAGAACACCAAUGGCGAAGGCAGCUCUCUGGGACGGUACUGACGCUGAGACGCGAAAGCGUGGGGAGCGAACAGG